rnacentral:rRNA from 1 species
AGUGAACGCUGGCGGUAGGCCUAACACAUGCAAGUCGAACGGCAGCACAGUAAGAGCUUGCUCUUACGGGUGGCGAGUGGCGGACGGGUGAGUAAUACAUCGGAAUCUACUUUUUCGUGGGGGAUAACGUAGGGAAACUUACGCUAAUACCGCAUACGACCUACGGGUGAAAGCAGGGGAUCUUCGGACCUUGCGCGAUUGAAUGAGCCGAUGUCGGAUUAGCUAGUUGGCGGGGUAAAGGCCCACCAAGGCGACGAUCCGUAGCUGGUCUGAGAGGAUGAUCAGCCACACUGGAACUGAGACACGGUCCAGACUCCUACGGGAGGCAGCAGUGGGGAAUAUUGGACAAUGGGCGCAAGCCUGAUCCAGCCAUACCGCGUGGGUGAAGAAGGCCUUCGGGUUGUAAAGCCCUCUUGUUGGGAAAGAAAAGCAGCAGGUUAAUACCCCGCUGUUCUGACGGUACCCAAAGAAUAAGCACCGGCUAACUUCGUG